CAUGCCCUGCAGGAUGGAACAAGUUCAAUUGUAGCUGCUAUCUCCUCUCUGAAAGGUCUGCUUCCUGGGAUGAAGCCAGAAAGGAAUGCAGAGACAGAGGAGCAGAUCUGGUGGUUAUUGACAGCCCAGAGGAUCAGACUGCAAUUUCUAAUAUUGCCACAACAGAAGCUUGGAUUGGUUUGAAUGACAAAGAACAGGAGGGAAUAUGGAAAUGGGUAGAUGGAACUCCACUGACUCUGAUAUCUGCUGGAAACUGGGGAGAAAAUCAACCUGAUAAUGGUGGUGGAUUUUCACAUUUGGGUGAAGAGGACUGUGUUCAUCUCAAAACUGAUACGAAGAAGUCUUGGAAUGAUCUUUCAUGUUCAGCUUCAUUUAAGUGGAUCUGCGAAAAAACACCAUAAAACUGCUAUUCAGUUUCUUGAAGAUGAUCUAAUUAUAAUUGCUUUGCAGUUUUAGCUGUGAUUAUAGUUGUUUUAUUCUAUCAUAUUGAGGUAAUUUGUUGUAGCUUAAAAUGUGCAUUUUUUUUUUAUGUCCGUGAAGAGUGAGCGAAAUUAUCAUCAAAUGCCUAGACAGCAAAAAUGUAAGUGCUUAAAGAGGUUAUUAUUAUUCUAGUGUUUAAAGAUUGUGAGUUCCAUUUUUUGUUGAUAAAAAUAUUAUUAUUAUUAGUCUUUGACUUCAGUAUUUACUUGAUGGUUACUAGCCAGGCCUGCGAUGCUUGUUUGCUUUGUUCAUACAACAUAUGAAAAAACAGACAUGUGCAUUUAUAUUGUUUUUUUAAUCUAUAUUAACAUGGGAGUUUGAAAAACCAAACAAUUAAUAAUUACAUAUAUCGGUGUAUAGAUAGUCAUGUCUCCCUGUUUGUUUAAACUCACCAGGCACAGUUGAAUAUCGCAAUAAAGCAUAUCCUACCUCCUUUGCCUAUUUACUGCUGGACCUCCUGGAAAAUGUCAUGAGGUCAAGGAAAGGGGCGAAGGAGAAUUCAUAAGGACUUAGGAAAAGAGAAAUGUGGUGGUCAGAGGAUCUGACUGCACUUACAGUGUGAUGUCUGCCAUGUUGAAGCUACAGUUUCCAGAAGAUAAACUACUACUGCAGGUCACGGAAUUGAGAACCGUCA